rnacentral:rRNA from 1 species
UACGAAGGGUGCAAGCGUUACUCGGAAUUACUGGGCGUAAAGCGUGCGUAGGCGGUUUGUUAAGUCCGCUGUGAAAGCCCUGGGCUCAACCUGGGAAUUGCAGUGGAUACUGGCAAGCUAGAGUGCGGUAGAGGAUGGUGGAAUUCCCGGUGUAGCGGUGAAAUGCGUAGAGAUGCGGAGGAACACCGAUGGCGAAGGCAGCCCCCUGGGCUAACACUGACGCUCAGGCACGAAAGCGUGGGGAGCAAACAGG